GUGCUCAUUUUGACAGAAUAUAUACUAAAAUUAGAACAAUACAGAGAUUAGCAUGGCCUCUGCACAAGGAUGACAUGAAAGUUCCACAUUUUU
rnacentral:snRNA from 1 species